CUAGCAUUUCGAGAGGACACAAACAGAAACGUACUCAAAAGUUUGUUAAAAUGAGAGAAGUACAGAGUGCAGAGGAUAUAACGUUGGAUAAGGUUAUCAAAAAACAGAUAUGGGAGAAGGCUGCAUUGAAUAUAUGAAUUAUGGUCAGGCUGG